rnacentral:rRNA from 1 species
UACGUAGGGGGCUAGCGUUGUCCGGAAUCAUUGGGCGUAAAGCGCGUGUAGGCGGCCCGGUAAGUCCGCUGUGAAAGUCGGGGGCUCAACCCUCGGAUGCCGGUGGAUACUGUCGGGCUCGAGUACGGAAGAGGCGGGUGGAAUUCCUGGUGUAGCGGUGAAAUGCGCAGAUAUCAGGAGGAACACCAAUUGCGAAGGCAGCUCGCUGGACGUUACUGACGCUGGAGACGCGAAAGCGUGGGAGCAAACAGG